UAUAAUUUAAAGUAGGGCCUGCCCACUGAUUUAUUGAAGGGCCGCAGUAUUUUGACUGUGCGAAGGUAGCAUAAUCAUUAGUUUUUUAAUUGAAAGCUUGUAUGAAUGGUUUGAUGAGGGAACGACUUUCUUUUUCUAAAUUUUUAAAACUUUAUUUUUAAGUUAAAAAGCUUAAAUUUUUAUAAAAGACGAGAAGACCCUAUAGAGUUUAAAUAUUAAAACUUUAUUAAUAUAAAGAAUUAAAUUAUUUUUAUUGUUUAAAUAUUUUGAUUGGGGUGAUUGAAAAAUAAGAAAAACUUUUUUUACAUUAAAACAUUAAUUUAUG
rnacentral:rRNA from 1 species